rnacentral:rRNA from 1 species
UCAAGCGUUUAAGGGCAUUUGGUGGAUGCCUUGGCACUGAGAGGCGAUGAAGGACGUAGCACGUUGCGAUAAGCCGCGGGGAGGCGCGAGCAGCCUUUGAUCCGUGGAUCUCCGAAUGGGGCAACCCGGCCGCAAGGUCAUCUCACUCUGAAUCCAUAGGGGUGAGAAGCGAACCCAGGGAACUGAAACAUCUCAGUACCUGGAGGAAAGGACAUCAACCGAGACUCCGCGAGUAGUGGCGAGCGAAAGCGGACCAGGCCAGUUGCUUCGAUGUUGGAACCAGAACCGUCUGGAAAGGCGGGCCGUAGUGGGUGAUAGCCCCGUAUGGGUAGUCAACGUCGAGGCACUUGAGUAAGGCGGGACACGAGCAAUCCUGUCUGAAGAUGGGGGGACCACCCUCCAAGCCUAAGUACUCCUCAGUGACCGAUAGUGAACAAGUACCGUGAGGGAAAGGUGAAAAGCACCCCGAUGAGGGGAGUGAAAUAGAACCUGAAACCGAAUGCCUACAAGCAGUGGGAGCGGCCUUGAGCCGUGACCGCGUACCUCUUGUAUAAUGGGUCAGCGACUUAGUCUUACGAGCAAGCUUAAGCCGGUAGGUGGAGGCGUAGCGAAAGCGAGUCUGAAUAGGGCGAAUGAGUUCGUAGGAUUAGACCCGAAACCGGGUGAUCUAGCCAUGGACAGGUUGAAGGUGGGGUAACACCCACUGGAGGACCGAACCAAUUACCGUUGAAAAGGUACUGGAUGAUCUGUGGCUAGGGGUGAAAGGCCAAUCAAACUCGGAAAUAGCUGGUUCUCCGCGAAAUCUAUUUAGGUAGAGCGUCAGAGGUUCACCGUAGGGGGUAGAGCACUGGAUGGGCUAGGGGGGAGCGAUCCUUACCAAACCUAACCAAACUCCGAAUACCUACGGGUUAUACUCUGGCAGACAGACUACGGGUGCUAAGGUCCGUGGUCGAGAGGGGAAGAGCCCAGACCACCAGCUAAGGUCCCCAAGUUAUGGCUAAGUGGGAAAGGAAGUGGGAAGGCCAAGACAACCAGGAGGUUGGCUUAGAAGCAGCCAUCCUUUAAAGAAAGCGUAAUAGCUCACUGGUCUAAACAAGCCGUCCUGCGCCGAAAAUGUAACGGGGCUAAAGCCAUACACCGAAGCUGUGGAUGCAUCGCAAGAUGCGUAGUAGCGGAGCGUUCCGUAAGCCUGUGAAGGUGUGCCGCGAGGCAUGCUGGAGGCACCGGAAGUGAGAAUGCUGACAUGAGUAGCGACAAACAGAGUGAGAAACUCUGUCGCCGAAAGCCCAAGGGUUCCUGCGCAAGGUUAAUCCGCGCAGGGUGAGCCGGCCCCUAAGACGAGGGCGACAGCCGUAGUCGAUGGGAACCUGGUUAAUAUUCCAGGGCCUGCUGGACGUGACGAAUUCUGUAAGUUGUCUCGGUUUAUUGGAUUACCGGGGCGGCGAAGGAGUUCCAGGAAAUAACGCCAGCGUAUAGACCGUACCCGAAACCGACACAGGUGGGCUGGUAGAGCAUACCAAGGCGCUUGAGAGAAUGGUGUUGAAGGAACUCGGCAAAUUGCCCUCGUAACUUCGGAAGAAGAGGGCCCUAUUCAUGGGCAACCAUGGAUGGGGGGCACAGAGCAGGGGGUGGCGACUGUUUAACAAAAACACAGGGCUCUGCGAAGUCUGUAAGACGACGUAUAGGGUCUGACGCCUGCCCGGUGCCGGAAGGUUAAGAGGAGGAGUGCAAGCUCUGAAUCGAAGCCCCGGUAAACGGCGGCCGUAACUAUAACGGUCCUAAGGUAGCGAAAUUCCUUGUCGGGUAAGUUCCGACCUGCACGAAUGGCGUAACGACUUCCCCGCUGUCUCCAGCACCAACUCAGCGAAAUUGAAUUCUCCGUGAAGAUGCGGAGUACCCGCGGUUAGACGGAAAGACCCCGUGCACCUUUACUAUAGCUUUGCAGUGGCAUUAGAGAAUGGAUGUGUAGGAUAGGUGGGAGGCUUUGAAGUUCGGGCGCCAGCUCGGAUGGAGCCACCGUUGAAAUACCACCCUUUUGUUCUUUGAUGUCUAACCGCGCCCCGUGAUCCGGGGCCGGGACCCUGCAUGGCGGGUAGUUUGACUGGGGCGGUCGCCUCCCAAAGAGUAACGGAGGCGCGCGAUGGUAGGCUCAAGCUGGUCGGAAAUCAGCUGACGAGUGCAAUGGCAUAAGCCUGCCUGACUGCGAGACUGACAAGUCGAGCAGAGAC